UUGUGGUUAAAGCACGGGCCUGGGUAUCAGGAGUCCUUGGCUCUAUUCAGCUGGGCCACCAACUUGCUGUGUGACAAUGGGGGAGUCACCUAACUUCCUCAUGCCCUGUAGUAAGUGACACCACUUCCCUUCCUCAGAGGAGUGGGGAGGGGGAAUUGAGGGCUGUCAGCUGCUAGGGUUUCUAAAGUGCUUUGAGAUCCUUAGAUAGGAGAGCAAAGUUCAUUAUUUCUUGCCAUGACUCAAUCCUGCAGGGGAUGGGGGCUUUGGAAAUACAACACGAGAGAUCAUUUCUCUCUCUGGUACUUUGUCAUUUACUAACUGUCCAAGGUGCGUGGGCUAGUUCUCUCCUUAUGAUCCCUCUCGAGUGGCUUUUUCACCCCAACCAACCCAUUAGGAUAAUCAUCGUAAUGCCUCCAAGGGGGGCGGGGGCAGCCCUCACUGUGGGCUGAGUGGGGACCUCAACCUUCUGCAUCAUGUUGCCAAGCAACACUUCUGCAGGCCUCACCAUCACAUCUGGUAUCCAUAGUGACAUCUCUCCCCAGUGCAGAGAUACUGGACUAGCCGAGUUUGCUGUGUGAAGAAGCUGGAGCCUUUUGGCCUGAUUCUCCUCUCUCACACAGGUGGAAAGGGGCGUUGAAUUAUGCUGGGUGGAAGAGCAGGGUGAGAGGAGGGCGAUUCCCCUAGAAUUUUCCUUCUGGUCUAGGAGUAAUACUAAUACCCCAUCAGGGCUCACGCUUAAUCACAGUCUCUCUCUCUCUCUAGUACUUAACAUCAUGGCACCAGUUACCUACCACAGCAUCUGAGCACUGCACAAUCUUUAAGCCCGAGCAUGGAAGGCGUUGAAGUACACCCCGCUGGCCGACACCCUGAGAGCCCAGGGUGUCCAGAUACACACCCUGAUCGUGGGAGCCCUGGGCUCGUGGGACCCCCCACAACGAGCCGGUACUGAGAGCAUGUGGAGUCGGACGACGCUACGCCCGGCUCACGGUGUCCGACACCAUCAGGUGGUCCAGAGACAUCAAUAUGGAACACAUCACGGGACACCGUCAAUACCACGUUGAGUUAUUGAGACCGCCAACCAGGGAAAUAACCCACUUCCUUCCCUGACCAACCAAGGGACGCACCCCACCCAUGUACUUAUUCACUACAUUGAUACUGACUUGGACUCUUUAUACAUUCCAUGGGUAGCGUACCCGAGCCCCCUUAUUCACUGAUGCUUUAAAAACUCCCGCACCCCAAUCUGGGUCUAUGCUGGUUAUGUGCUAUGUAUGUAUCUUGUGAUCCUUGUAACCAAUUCCUGUAAUCCCGCAUCAUUCAAGCUGGACCCCAGAUGUACAGUACCUUCCCUCUUAACUUGUGUAUAUUUAAUUGUAAACAUUAACUUUAAUAAGGUUUUUAAUACAACCAAAAUCAGGGCCCCCGCUGUGCUAGGCGCUGUACACACACAUAGUAAGAGCCAGUCCCUGCCCCGAAGAGCUUAGCCUCUAAACAGACAGGCAAAGAAUGAGAGGGGAAACUGAGGCACAGGGCGGUGACGUGUCUUAUCCAAGGUCCUACAGCUGGUCAGUGGCUGAGCUGGGAAUAGCCCCCAGGCCUCUUGACUCCAAACCCAGCGCCUCAUCUACUAGCCCACAACCAAAUUCUGUGCCUUCAGUUAUUCCCAAAUCCUGAGCCUUUUGCUUAUUUCACUGUGAAUGUUUAUUUGGCUGAAAAAUAAAAGACAUUAUUUGC